rnacentral:rRNA from 1 species
GCUGGCGGCACGCCUAACACAUGCAAGUCGAACGAAGUAGCAAUACUUAGUGGCAGACGGGUGAGUAACAUGUAGGUAUCUGCCCUUUGGCCUGGAAUAACACGAGGAAACUUGUGCUAAUACCGGAUAAGUCUUUACGGAGAAAGCUUUAUGCACCAUUGGAUGAGCCUGCACUUGAUUAGUUUGUUGGUAGGGUAAUGGCCUACCAAGACUGUGAUCAAUAGCUGAUUUGAGAGGAUGAUCAGCCACAUUGGGACUGAGACACGGCCCAAACUCCUACGGGAGGCAGCAGUGGGGAAUCUUGCACAAUGGAGGAAACUCUGAUGCAGCGAUGCCGCGUGAGUGAAGAAGGCCCUUGGGUUGUAAAGCUCUUUCGUCGGGGAAGAAAAUGACUGUACCCGAAUAAGAAGGUCCGGCUAACUUCGUGCCAGCAGCCGCGGUAAUACGAAGGGACCUAGCGUAGUUCGGAAUUACUGGGCUUAAAGAGUUCGUAGGUUGUUGAAAAAGUUGGUGGUGAAAUCCCAGAGCUUAACUCUGGAACUGCCAUCAAAACUUUUUAGCUAGAGUAUGAUAGAGGAAAGCAGAAUUUCUAGUGUAGAGGUGAAAUUCGUAGAUAUUAGAAAGAAUACCAAUUGCGAAGGCAGCUUUCUGGAUCAUUACUGACACUGAGGAACGAAAGCAUGGGUAGCGAAGAGGAUUAGAUACCCUCGUAGUCCAUGCCGUAAACGAUGUGUGUUAGACGUUGGAAAUUUAUUUUCAGUGUCGCAGCGAAAGCGAUAAACACACCGCCUGGGGAGUACGACCG